rnacentral:misc_RNA from 1 species
UGGAUAUUUAUUCACAAGAGAAACAAAAGGUUUAUGAAGUACUGGAUAAAUUACCUGGCAAGAUCAGCCUUAGUGCCAAUUUGUGGUCUGCUUUCGAUGAUGCCGAGUACUUGUGUUUAACAGCANACAUUGAUGAAGCUUGGCAAUUGAAGAAGAAGACAUUGAAUUUCGUCUUGGUUGAUCCGACUCAUACAGAAGACGUGCGUUCAGAAGUCAUCAUGACAUGUCUGAUGGACUGGGA